CAAUAGCGUAUAUUUAAGUUGUUGCAGUUAAAAAGCUCGUAGUUGGAUUUCGGAUGGGAUCUGCCGGUCCGUCUUUGAGAUGUGUACUGGUAGGUCCUAUCUUGUUGUCGGGGACCAGCUCCUGGGCUUCACUGUCCGGGACUGGGAGCCGACGAAGUUACUUUGAGUAAAUUAGAGUGUUCAAAGCAAGCCUACGCUCUGAAUAUAUUAGCAUGGAAUAACACGAUAGGACUCUGGCUUAUCUUGUUGGUCUGUGAGACCAGAGUAAUGAUUAAGAGGGACAGUCGGGGACAUUCGUAUUUCAUUGUCAGAGGUGAAAUUCUUAGAUUGACGAAAGACAAACUGCUGCGAAAGCGUCUGCCAAGGAUGUUUUCAUUGA
rnacentral:rRNA from 1 species